UGGGGAAUUUUGGACAAUGGGCGCAAGCCUGAUCCAGCCAUGCCGCGUGCGGGAAGAAGGCCUUCGGGUUGUAAACCGCUUUUGUCAGGGAAGAAAUCUUCUGAGUUAAUACCUCGGGAGGAUGACGGUACCUGAAGAAUAAGCACCGGCUAACUACGUGCCAGCAGCCGCGGUAAUACGUAGGGUGCAAGCGUUAAUCGGAAUUACUGGGCGUAAAGCGUGCGCAGGCGGUUUUGUAAGACAGAGGUGAAAUCCCCGGGCUCAACCUGGGAACUGCCUUUGUGACUGCAAGGCUUGAGUGCGGCAGAGGGGGGAUGGAAUUCCGCGUGUAGCAGUGAAAUGCGUAGAUAUGCGGAGGAACACCGAUGGCGAAGGCAAUCCCCUGGGCCUGCACUGACGCUCAUGCACGAAAGCGUGGGGAGCAAACAGGAUUAGAUAGCCCUGGUAGUCCACGCCCUAAAACGAUGUCAACUGGUUGUUGGGAAGGUUCCUUCUCAGUAACGUAGCUAACGCGUGAAGUUGACCGCCUGGGGAGUACGGCCGCAAGGUUGAAACUCAAAUGAAUUGACGGGGUCAU
rnacentral:rRNA from 1 species